rnacentral:lncRNA from 1 species
CAGAGGUACUAUAAUGGUAGAAAAGUAGUUGAAGGACAAUGCCGGAAAAGGCCGUGUGGGAAAGGCUGACUAGGGGGAGUUUGCUUGACUUGGGUCUUGAGCCACAAGGCGCAGAAGAGAUGGAAGGGUGUCCAGACAGAGGGAGUAGCCCGUGCAAAGGAAGGGAUUCCAAGGCUGGAGAGAAUGUUGAUGGUUAUUCCAGUCCAGCACCCACCCUCGUCACUCCCCCAAACUGCAUUUAUCAGGCUCACCCAUUACCUCCAUGUUGACAAUUCCAAGAGAUGCUGAUGGUUUAUUGUAUGUGUCAACUUGACUGCACUAAGGGAUGCCCAG